rnacentral:lncRNA from 1 species
CCAAAAAUGUUAUCAGUCCAGACAUAAACUCCAAUUAAACUUACUCAAUACAGAUCUAUCUCAUCGUCUCUCGCAUGUUUCUUUACGUCUGUUCUUGUUCUUCCCCUAACAAAUGACCGAGACAUCACGGUAGGUUCUGUCGUAUGCAUGUGAUGUUGCAAGGAUAGUGUGAGUCGUCUUCAUCCUGGAGCCGCCUGUGACGUGUGGAAACUGCGUUGCCGGGUGAUCGACGAAAUGACCAAGGGUCCAGUCCACCCAAAUCUCCACCAAGGUUGCAGAUUGAAUCCAAGAAGAUCUCAUUAAUGGUGCUGAGGAACGAACUCAAACGAAGUAACCAAUCUGGAAUCGGAGGGGAAGAAGGAAACAACAUCUCUUGCUAGUUCUUGGCAGACAUCACCAGCUGCAGUCAGAAACAGACCUCGUCUUCAACCCGGACCCUCUUGUGAUGCGUGGAAGCCGUGUCGCCAGGUGAUCGAUGAAAUGACCAAGGGUUUAGAAUCCAUGAAAAGGAAGAGGAAAGAACAUCUCUUUCCGGUUCUCGGCAAACAUCACCUGCUGCACCUCGCAAGGCGCCAUCGGCCAUCGGUGGCUUGUGGCUAACGAAGCGGG